GCUCAGUAACACGUGGAUAACCUACCCUUAGGACCGGGAUAACCUUGGGAAACUGAGGAUAAUACUGGAUAGGCAAUUAUUCCUGCAAUGGUUUUUUGUUUAAAUGUUUUUUCGCCUAAGGAUGGGUCUGCGGCCGAUUAGGUAGUUGGUUAGGUAAUGGCUUACCAAGCCGUUGAUCGGUACGGGUUGUGAGAGCAAGAGCCCGGAGAUGGAACCUGAGACAAGGUUCCAGGCCCUACGGGGUGCAGCAGGCGCGAAACCUCCGCAAUGUGAGAAAUCGCGACGGGGGGAUCCCAAGUGCCAUUCUUAACGGGAUGGCUUUUCAUUAGUGUAAAGAGCUUUUGGAAUAAGGGCUGGGCAAGACCGGUGCCAGCCGCCGCGGUAACACCGGCAGCUCUAGUGGUAGCAGUUUUUAUUGGGCCUAAAGCGUCCGUAGCCGGUUUAAUAAGUCUCUGGUGAAAUCCUGUAGCUUAACUGUGGGAAUUGCUGGAGAUACUAUUAGACUUGAGACCGGGAGAGGUUAGAGGUACUCCCAGGGUAGAGGUGAAAUUCUGUAAUCCUGGGAGGACCGCCUGUUGCGAAGGCGUCUAACUGGAACGGUUCUGACGGUGAGGGACGAAAGUUAGGGGCGCGAACCGGAUUAGAUACCCGGGUAGUCCUAACCGUAAACGAUGCGGACUUGGUGUUGGGGUGGCUUUGAGCUGCUCCAGUGCCG
rnacentral:rRNA from 1 species